CCCUCGUCUUCUUCUUCCCAUCAACACACAGUUCCCAGCUAUCUCCCCCCUCUCUCCACAUGUUGCUCCUGCCACCACCUCCUUCUCGCAGUUCUCCGCUAGCCGGCUUCCCAAGGCUACAACCCCAGUCGUUGCUCACCUCUCGCUGCUGUUGGCUAGGUUAGGAGGGCGCUACUGUCAUGCCUGGUGGCGGAGCUGCAGUGCAGCAGGCACCGCACGACAACACUGCUGCAUGCUGACGGGGAGCUGCGUUUCAGCAGGGAGAGGCUCCAAGCUGCUUCCAUGGCCGGUGGAGAAGCUGUAGUGCAGCAGGCGAUGCAUGACGACGCUACUGCCGCGUUGACGGGGGAGCUGCGUUGCAGCAGGGAGUGGCUCAGAGCUGUUGCCAUAGCCGACGGAAGAGUUGCGUUUGCAAUAGGCGAUGCUACAGCGAAGCUGCUGCAAGCCGACGGUGGAGCUUCCUUGCAGCAGAGGUCACCGGGAUGGUUGUUGAUGGGGUGCUGCUAUGCAACAGCCGUCUGCGCAGCCGACACCGCGAUGCAACGCUCGCCGGCGGCCGGCGCUGCAAGUUGGAAGGAGAGCGACGAUGCAGGGCACAACGGUGUUGCUAUGCAGCACGAGCAGUGGGGCGCGACAUGUAGGGGAGCAGCAGUGAUACGAUGCCGACCUCGUCGAUGCUGACGGGGCUGCGAUGCAACGCUCCCGGCACGGGGAAGCUGGCAUUGCUAUGAUGGCUUCUGCCGAAGAUGCUAUUUGCAGCUCCGUCGGCGACGGUGUUGGCUACUGCAAUGACGGCGGUGCGGGGCGAUGGGAGGGAGGCAUGCUAUGAGUGAGGCCCAGGAGGGGGCGUGGGGUGCUUCGUGUUUUGCAACCGCAAGCGAAACCGCAAGAGACCAAAGCAGAGGAAGCUGAUUGAAGGGUCAUGUGCUCAUCCGCCUGAUCCGUAGCAGCGCCCUUAUUUAUAUGCAUGCAUUAUAGCCCGUAGCAACGUAAGAGUGUAGUACUAAUGAGGUGAAUAGUGGACUUCUUGAUUUUUUUGAGGCUAAGUUUUUUUAGACAAACUUGGAAGCUUUUAUUAAAUCAUCACAGCAUUUACACAGACGAAAGAAAGUCCAUCCGGCUGGCCUAGCCAGACAUGUCGGCCAGCCGGAAGCGAUAAAGCAUGCUUCGCGAGUUUGUGAGCCUCGACAUUCGAGCUCCUAAAUUCAUGACUAACGUUACAAGCCUG
rnacentral:rRNA from 1 species